ensembl:lncRNA LMCD1-AS1 LMCD1 antisense RNA 1
AGCUGAGCGCCGGCUGCCCUGACGUCAGCAUGGCCGCGGCCCCUGACUACCCAGCUCCCUUCUAUCCCUCGAGCGGCAGGAAUCCGUCCCCACGCCCUUUUCCUUUAAAGGGCAACGGGCCGAAGGUGGGGCGGGCGGCGCGGCUCCCGCGAUCCAUUCAGGUCAAAAGGGAGAGUGAUCAAACAGGAGAGCCGAGGGGACCUAUAUUCAGAGACUUAACCGGACACCUGGACAGACCAUUACAACUUGGGACUUUUCAGGAGAAUGAGGGAAAUGUAGUUAUUGCACCUGAGCCUCACUCCAGCUCUGAGGUCCUCUUCACUUCUCUUUGGAAGAAAAUUGGAUAUCUUUUCCUAGUUGAAAGAGUAGAGAUCUGAUUUCUCCAAGGAUCAUCGCUUUUUGACACGGGAUUAUUAGAAGCAUUCAUUCAUCUAUCAAGGAGUUUUGGGAUACUUGCCAUAAGCCAAGCCCUCUGAUAGGUGCUGGAAACAUCAAGCUCUGUGCCCAGGAAGUUCAUCCUUGGACUGCACGCAUGAACGAGUUUGCUGUCUUCCCAUUGGAUUCAGCCAGUCCGCGGUCCUGGAAGAAGAAAUACUUUCCCAGACAAAUAAAAGCUGAGGAAUAUCAUCAACAUCAGACCUGUCUUACAAAAAAUGCUAAAGGGAGUUCUUCAAUCCAAAAGAAAAAGAUGUUAAUGAGCAAAAAUAAAUCAUCUGAAGGUGCAAAACUUGCUGGUAAUUGUAAGUACAAAGAAAACACAGAAUAUUAUAACACUGUAACUUACAUGCUGUGGUGUGUAAACUACUCAUAUGUUAAGUAAAAAGACUAAAAUAUAAAUCAAUUAAAAUAAUAAUUGCAACAACUUUUCAAGACAUAGACAGUACAAUAAGAUACAAAUAGGAACAACAAAAUGUUAAAAAGCAGGUUGACACAGUUAAGGUGUAAAGGUUUUAUUAGUUUUCCCUUUGCUUCUUUGUUUAUGCAAUCAGUGUUUAGUUGUCAACAGUUUAAAAUAAUGGUUAUAAGAUAUUGUUUGCAAAUCUCAUGGUGACCUCAAAUCAAAAACAUACAACAGAUACAUGAAAAAUAAAAAGGAAGAAAUUAAAACAUACCACUGGAGAAAAUCACCUUUACUAACAGAAAGACAGGAAGGAAGGAAAGAAGGAAGAGAAGACCACAAAACAACCAGAAAACUCACAAUAAAAUGGCAGGAUUAAGUCUUUAUUUAUCAACAAUAACAUUGAAUGUAAGUGGAUUAAACUCUCUGAUCAAAAGACAUAGAGUGGCUAAAUGUAUAACAAAACAAGACUCAAUAAUCUGUGGCCUACAAGAAACACACUUCACCUAUAAAAACACAUAUAGAUUAAAAAUAAAGGGAUAGAGAAAGAUAUUCCAUGGAAACAGAAACGAAAAAGAAGCAGGAGUAUCUAUACUUGUGUCAGACAAAAUAGAUUUCAAGACAAAAACUGUUAAAAAAGAUAAGAAAGCUCAUUAUAUAAUGAUAAAGUAGUCAAUUCCUCAAGGAGGCAUAACAAUUGUAAAUAUAUAUGCAUCCAACACUGGAACACCCAGAUAUAUAAAGCAAAUAUUAUUAAAGAAAGAGAUAGACCUCAGUAUAAUAAUACCUGGACAUCCAGUAUAAUAAUACAUCCAGUAUAUAUAUAUGCAUCCAACACUGGAACACCCCAGAUCAUCCAGAUCUAAAAUCAAGAAAUAAACAUUGGACUUAAUCAGCAUUAUGGAUGAAAUGGACCUAAAAGAUAUUUAUAGAACAUUUCAUCCAACAGCUGCAACAUAUACAUUCCUUUCCUCAGCACAUAAAUCCUUCUCAAUAAUAGACAAUAUGUUUGGCUACAAAAUAAGUUGCAAAGAUUUAAAAAAUGAAAUUAUAUUAGAAUCUUUUCUUACUACAAUGGAGUAAAACUAGAAAUCAAUAACCAGAGAAAUUUUGGAAACUAUACAAACACUUUAAAUAAUAUGCUCUGGAAUAACCAGUGGGUCAAUAAAGAAAUUAAGAAGGAGAUUUAAACAUUUCUUGAGACAAAUAAUAAUGGUAACAAAACAUACAAAAAUGUAUGGGAUAUAGUAAAAAUAGUACUAAGAGGAAUGUUUAUAGCUAUAAACAUCUACAUCAGAAAAGUAGAAAAACUUCAAGUAGACAACCUAACAAUGGAUCUUAAAGAAAUAGAAAACCAAGAGCAAACCAAACCCAAAAUUAAUGGAGGAAAACAAAUAAUAAAUAUCAAAGCAGAUAUAAAUGAAAUUGAAACAAAGGAAACAACCCGAAUAAUCAACAAAAUGAAAAGUUUUUUACAAAGAUAAUAAAAAUCCACAAAACUUUAGUCAGACUAAUUAAGAAAAAAAGAGACAAGACCCAAAUAAAUAAAAUCAGAGAUUUUAAAAAAAGGAGACACAUUACUACGGAUACUGCCAAAAUUCAAAGUAUCAUUAGAGGCUACUAUGAGCAACUAUAUGCCAAUAAAUUGGAAAACCUAGAAGAAAUUGAUAAAUUCUUAGAC